rnacentral:rRNA from 1 species
AUUGAACGCUGGCGGCAUGCCUUACACAUGCAAGUCGAACGGCAGCACGGGUGCUUGCACCUGGUGGCGAGUGGCGAACGGGUGAGUAAUACAUCGGAACAUGUCCUGUAGUGGGGGAUAGCCCGGCGAAAGCCGGAUUAAUACCGCAUACGAUCUACGGAUGAAAGCGGGGGACCUUCGGGCCUCGCGCUAUAGGGUUGGCCGAUGGCUGAUUAGCUAGUUGGUGGGGUAAAGGCCUACCAAGGCGACGAUCAGUAGCUGGUCUGAGAGGACGACCAGCCACACUGGAACUGAGACACGGCCCAGAAUCCUACGGGAGGCAGAAGUGGGGAAUUUUGGACAAUGGGCGAAAGCCUGAGCCAGCAAUGCCGCGUGUGUAAAGAAGGCCUUCGGGUUGUAAAGCACUUUUGUCCGGAAAGAAAUCCUUGGCCCUAAUACGGUCGGGGGAGGACGGUACCGGAAGAAUAAGCACCGGCUAACUACGU